rnacentral:rRNA from 1 species
UGCGUAGGGUGCAAGCGUUGUCCGGAAUCACUGGGCGUAAAGCGCACGUAGGCGGAUGUGUCAGUCAGGGGUGAAAUCCCGGAGCUCAACUUCGGAACUGCCUUUGAUACAGCACGUCUUGAGUCCGAUAGAGGUGGGUGGAAUUCCUAGUGUAGAGGUGAAAUUCGUAGAUAUUAGGAAGAACACCGGUGGCGAAGGCGGCCCACUGGAUCGGUACUGACGCUGAGGUGCGAAAGCGUGGGGAGCAAACAGG